rnacentral:rRNA from 1 species
ACUGCUAUCGAGAUGGGACUAAGGUAUGCUAGUCGAACGACCAGAACUAUGUCUGGAAGUGGCACACUGCUCAGUAACACGUAGCUAACCUACCCUUAGGACGUGGAUACCCCCGAGAAAUUGGGGUUAAUCCGCGAUAGGUGUAAUGUCCUGGAAUGGUAUUACGCCUAAAGGUGUAUCAUACAUGUUUGAUAUACGCCUAAGGAUGGGGCUGCGGCCGAUCAGGCUGUUGGUGAGGUAAUGGCUCACCAAACCUUUGACCGGUACGGGCCAUGAGAGUGGUAGCCCGGAGAUGGACACUGAGACAAGGGUCCAGGCCCUAAGGGGCGCAGCAACCGCGAAACCUCCACAAUGCACUCACGUGCGAUGGGGCUAUCUCGAGUGCCACCUGAUGAAGGUGGCUUUUCCUAGGUCUUCAAAGCCUUGGGAAUAAGAGGGGGGCAAGACUGGUGUCAGCCGCCGCGGUAACACCAGCCCCUCGAGUGGUGGGGAUGAUUAUUUGGCCUAAAGCGUCCGUAGCCGGCCGAGCAAGUCUUCCGUUAAAUCCAGCGUCUUAAGCGUUGGACUGCGGGAGAUACUACACGGCUAGAGAGUGGGAGAGGUCAGCGGUAUUCUGGGGGUAGGGGCGAAAUCCUUUGAUCCCCGGAGGACCACCAGUGGCGAAGGCUGCUGACUAGAACACGUCUGACGGUCAGGGACGAAAGCUGGGGUAGCGAACCGGAUUAGAUACCCGGGUAGUCCCAGCUGUAAACGAUGCAUGCUAGGUGUUGGGUUGGCCACGAGCCACCCCAGUGCCGCAGGGAAGCCGUUAAGCAUGCCGCCUGGGAAGUACGAUCGCAAGAUUGAAACUUAAAGGAAUUGGCGGGGGAGCACCACCAGGCGUGAAGCCUGCGGUUUAAUUGGAGUCAACGCCGGG